GCAACUUGCUUUGGGUCCGUUUCCACGCUUUGGUCUUUCUCUCUUGGCAGUAAAUCUUGCUGCUCCUCACUUUUUGGGUUAGUACUACGUUUAUGAGCUGUCACACUCACCGGGAAGGUCUACAGCUUCACUCCUGAAGCCAGUGAGACCGUUAACCCACCAGGAGGAACGGGCAACUCAGACCGCGCCACCUUUAAGAGCUGUAACACUCACCGCGAAGGUCUGCGGCUUCACUCCAGAAGUCAGCGAGACCACGAAUCCUGCGGGAGGAACGAACUCCGACCGCGCCACCUUUAAGAGCUGUAACACUCACUGCGAAGGUCUGUGGCUUCACUCUUGAAGUCAGCAAGACCACGAACCCACCAGAAGGAAGAAACUCCGGACACAUCUGAACAUCUGAAGGAACUCGGGACACGCCAUCUUUAAGAACUGUUAACACUCACUGCGGGGGUCUGCGGCUUCAUUCCUGACGUCAGCGAGACCAAGAACCCACCGGAAGGAACCAGUUCCAGACAUACUGGGACCGUGUGGAUACGUCGGUAAACCUGACAUGCACAUCUUUAGGAGAUAGCUGGAGAAAACCCAUGCAGAUUGUGGGUUUAUCCCCAGCUGGGGAUAGAUUUUUUUUCCCCAUCAAUAUUGUAAAGAAAACUGAAUGAAUUAGUUAUUCAAGAACCAGCUGUACCUCUUACAUAGGGUUGUCCCGAGGGCUAUGAGAGAUCAUGUUUGUAAAGUGCCCAAGAAGCAGUGGCUACUAUUAUUACUAACUUGCUUUUUCUGUGCAGUAACUUUAUAAGAUAAAUUUUGCCACAGUUUUAUAGAUGAAGAGACUGAGGCAAAUGGAGGUCCCUUAAUUUACCAGAAGUCUUCUACCUUAAGAAAGACAAGACUCGGAUUCUAAUUUAAGUCAUUUUGAUACAUUCUACUCUCCCCACCACAGCAUAUUAAAUGUAAUGCACACUCAAAAAUACUGGGUUUUUUUUUUGUUUUUUUUUUUUGAGACAGAGUUUCGCACUUUUUGCCCAGGCUGGAGUGCAAUGGCGCGACCUUGGCUCCACCUCUUGGGUUCAAAUGAUUCUCCUGCCUCAGCCUUCUGAGUAGCUGGGAUUACAGGCAUGCAUCAGCACGCCUGGCUAAUUUUGUAUUUUUAGUAGAGAUGGGGUUUCUCCAUGUUGCUCAGGCUGGUCUCGAACUCCUGACUUCAGGUGAUCCUCCCACCUAGGCCUCCCAGAGUGUUGGGAUUAUAGGUGUGAGCCACUGCGCCUGGCCUGGAUUUCUCUAUUUGUUUAUGCGAAAUCGUCUACUGGCAUUACCAUCUCUCAAAACAUUUUCCUGGACUUUUAACUAAAGAUUUUUUCCAUUGUAAUGGGCACAAGUGCAAUUUCCCUUUCAUUUUAAGAGACUGUGAGAAGUAACAAAUCAGGUGAUGGUCUUGUUUUCCCAAGCUGCUACAGAGCUUCUGCAGCUCCAAGCAUGACCACUAUAUUUGGCUGCUUAAAAGCAUAACAAGGGCAGAAAUCAUAAAGGCUUUGCCCAGAGGGCCUUGAUUGUCCUUGCCUUCUUGUCCUUUGGUGAGAACUUCAUUGGUGGUGGCUCCAAAAAUCAGGAGACUUUCUGUGAUGAAUUCACCAUAAGAACGUGGGACCCAGCCUCCCUUGAAGGACGUCCUAUAUGAUGCCUGUUUCCAAGGGAAGAAGUAAAGUCAAGAAACAAGAUAUCCUCAAGCUACUCUUAGGAUCAGUGUCUGCAUAGAUCUGGCACACAGAAAUGCAAGGAAACAAUUUGUGCAAAGCAUUAAAAAAAAAAGGGGGGACCCUGAGAGUAUAACAAGUGCUCCUGAGAGAGGACAGACGGAGAGGACGCAUGGGCAGGGAUGGCCGCCCUGAGCAGCUGAUGUUCGAGCUAAGAUCUGAAAGGUGCAUGAUUUCCCACUUACCUCCCGCAACCACUACCACCCACGUUGUCCACAGUAUUCAGCUGUCUCAGGGAGGAUCACAAUUAUUCUAAUGGGACUGCAAAGAGUGAAGGACACAGCUUUUAACAUCAGAUUCGAAUCCUACAAUUUGGAACCCAUGGGCACUUCUAGAUUGGAUCUUGCAGAGAUUUUUUACAACAGAAAUAAUGGAAAGGCAAAAGAAAACAUUGAGUAAUAACCAACCCAAGCAAGUCCAGCCUCUUUCUGCAGAAGAUAAUCAGGAUGACUCCACCUUUGUACCUGACUGAGGAACUUAGUGAACCCUGAAGAAAUGAUGAUUAAAGAGACAAUGAAGAGGCCAGGCGCAGUGGCUCAUGCCUGUAAUCCCAGCACUUUGGGAGGCCGAGGUAGGCGGAUCAUGAGGUCAGGAAAUCGAGACCAUCCUGGCUAACAUGGUGAAACUCUAUCUCUACUAAAAAUACAAAAAAUAAGCUGGGUGUGGUGGCACGUGCCUGUAAUCCCAGCUACUCAGGAAGCUGAGACAGGAGAAUCGCUUGAACCCAGGAGGUGGAGGUUGCAGUGAGCCGAAGUCGUGCCGUUGCACUCCAGUCCGGGUGACAGAGUGAGACUCUGUCUCAAAAAAAAAAAAAAAAAAAAAGGACAAUGAAGACAGGAGACAUUGGGCUGUGCCCUUCUAGAUAUGACAGGGAGCAAAUAAGCCAACUCCAGGUCAGUAUAAAAUCCUAGGUGAUCAUUAAAAUCACUUAAAUAAGCCAACUCCAGGUCAGCAUAAAAUCCUAGGCGAUCAUUAAAAUCACUUAAAAUUAAAAUCCUAGGUGAUCAUUAAAACCACUUCAAAAAGACAUGUUUUGGGAGCUAUGUGUUCAGGGAAACAGAGGAGAAAACAACUGGGACUCUAUGAGGUGCCAGGUUUGAAGCUGUAUGGAUGUGACUGAUGUCAGGUUUUCAUGAGCCCAGUGGAAAAUUUAGAGGCAGUAAACUGGGCAACUGGGGCUGUUGGUGCUUGAGUAAUGCUUGGGCAUCAAGAUCUCCAAACUGUGUGGCCGCACCUGUGGUCCUAGCUACUCAGGAGGCUGAGGUGGGAGGAUAGUUGGAGCCUGGGAGAUUGAGGCUGCAGUGAGCUGUGAUGGUGCCACUGUACUCUAGCCUGGGUGACAGAGCGAGACUUGUCUCAAAAAAAAAAAAAUCUCCAAACUGGACUCUCUCUCACUAGGGAUUUGUCUCUUUCUCCUCUCCUUCUCUUCCUUCCUAAUUAUCUCCUUUUCUUUAUUCACAAUAUAUAUAUCCUCAACUAUGGAUAAGUGUGCUUAUACUCAGCUAUAUUUUCUUUUUUUCCAGCUAUAUUGAUGUAUAAUUGACAAAUAAAAAUUAGAUAUUGUUAAGGUGUACAACAUAGUGCUUGACAGAUAUAUACAUUGUGAAAUAAUUACCACAACCAAGCAAGCUAGUUAACAUAUCCAUCACCUCAUGUAGUUACUUUUUUGGGUUUUUUUUUUUUUGGUGUGGUGAGAACACUGAAAAUCAACUCUCUUAGCAAAUUUUGAGUAUUCAAUGAAGUAUACUUGAAUAACACUGUAUACAAAUUCAAGUAUAAAUUCAAGUAUACAAUGCUAUUAGCUAUAGUCAUCCUGCUAUAUAUUAGUUCUCCAGAACCUACUCAUCAUAUAAGUUAACGUUUGUACCCUUUGCCCAAGACCGCCCCACUUCCUCCUCCCACCAGCUGCUGGUAACAACCAUUCUACUCUCUGUUUCUAUGAGUUUGACUUUUUUAGGUUUUGCAUAGAAGUGACAUCAUGCAGUAUUUAUCUUUCUGUGUCUGGCUUGUUUCAUUUAGCAUAACGUCUUGCAGGUUCAUUCAUGUUGUCGCAAAUGGCAGGAUUUCCUUAUUUUUAAAGGCUGAAUAUUCCAUUGUGUGUGAAAAUAUAUGAUAUCAACUGUAUUUUCAUAUAUGUGUCUAACUGGAUGGCCUCUUAAUAAACUUUAAAGGAUUAAAGAUUGUCAUUAGAGAAUUCUAAAUAAGGUGGUUUUAGGUUCAUAUUAUACAAUACAUGUAAUGUGCAUGCAUUAUGUCGACUCUUAUUAAAUUCUAAGUCCUACUCAAUAGUGUUGAGAGCAUUAAUGCACCCAAGAAUUUUGUUUUUUUAUUUAACUUAGUGAGAAAAUAUAACUUAAUAUAUAGCAAUUCACUUAGAUUGAUAUAGAAGUAAUUAACACCACAUUCUUAUUAAUAGAUUUCU
rnacentral:lncRNA from 1 species